rnacentral:rRNA from 1 species
GACGAACGCUGGCGGCGUGCUUAACACAUGCAAGUCGAACGGAAAGGCCCUGCUUUUGUGGGGUGCUCGAGUGGCGAACGGGUGAGUAACACGUGAGUAACCUGCCCUUGACUUUGGGAUAACUUCAGGAAACUGGGGCUAAUACCGGAUAGGAGCUCCUGCUGCAUGGUGGGGGUUGGAAAGUUUCGGCGGUUGGGGAUGGACUCGCGGCUUAUCAGCUUGUUGGUGGGGUAGUGGCUUACCAAGGCUUUGACGGGUAGCCGGCCUGAGAGGGUGACCGGCCACAUUGGGACUGAGAUACGGCCCAGACGCCUACGGGAGGCAGCAGUGGGGAAUAUUGCACAAUGGGCGGAAGCCUGAUACAGCGACGCCGCGUGCGGGAUGACGGCCUUCGGGUUAUAAACCGCUUUCGCCGGUGACGAAGCGUGAGUGACGGUAAUGGGUAAAGAAGCACCGGCUAACUACGUG